ensembl:lncRNA
UAUAUAUAUUUUUUAUUUUUUUUAUUUUUUAAGUUUGUAGUAUAUUAUAUAACAGAUCUGUUGUCUCUUUUAAAUGUCUUCUGCCAUCACUUUCUCUCAUAAAAUUGAACUCUUGUUUCAGAUGAUAAAACCCUAAAUUUUCCAUCUCACGGUGCCAGUGUGACCGCAGCUGAAAUAUUGUUCUUGGUAAUGAAAAUGAAGAGACACUCGACACGUGAGGCGCUGUGGCGCUUCGGGAGGAAUAUUAACAGUGACCAAACCAUCAUUAAACACAUGUUUAUUACCUGGGAGCCCAUGGACAGAUUGCAAGGCCGUAAACCGCCACCAGAAGCCAUUUGUGAAGAGGACGAGAGAUUAAACGUGAAGAAGUGCGGCAGAAUGGUGUCAACGGCUGGUAUAUAUAGAUCUUCACCACACAACAUGUAUUAUGAAUCCAGACAAAUGGGCUUUUGCUGUCUCUGCUGUACAGAUGAGUUCAUAAACCCUCGUUCAGCUGCAAAACAACAGCCUCGUGUGUGUUUAUGAGCUUUCGACAGGGAAGGAUGAUCGUGAGACACUCUGGUCCCAGCAAGCACAAAACAGACACGAGGGUGAGGAAGUGAAGACACACCAUUCAUUUCUAGAUGAACUAGUCCUUUAAAAGAGGAUGUGGGUUUAUUUUCUUCCAUUUUCUAUGAUGAGGCUUUCACAAAGCAUUCCUUGUUAGUUUUGGCUUAAUUCCUACUAUUUAUGUUGUUUUAGAUCCAAACAAAAUGUUCCAGGGACGUUGCUCCUUGUUUUGUUUUGGUUUUUUUUGUAGUAAAAUUUCAUUAGAAUGAUGAUUUGAAAUGCAUCUGUGACAUAAAUGCUUAAUCCUCUGAGGGUCAACUUCACAUCAAACCUAUAAACAAAUGCAUUUUUUGUUUCCUUUAAUGUUUAAUUCAAAUGUGCAGAUUGUUACUAUGAAGCCAAAUGAAAUGUUCCUGAAACAUCUGCGUUUGGUUUUUGUAGUAAAAUUGCAUUAGGAUGAUGAUUUGAAAUGUAUUUAUGACUAAUGUUUCACAACUUUACCACAUCAAACCUAUAAA